UACGUAGGGGGCUAGCGUUGUCCGGAAUCAUUGGGCGUAAAGAGCGUGUAGGCGGCUCAGUAAGUCCGCUGUGAAAGUCCAGGGCUCAACCCUGGAAUGCCGGUGGAUACUGUCGGGCUAGAGUCCGGAAGAGGCGAGUGGAAUUCCUGGUGUAGCGGUGGAAUGCGUAGAGAUGUGGAGGAACACCGAUGGCGAAGGCAGCCCCUGGGUCAAGAUUGACGCUCAUGCACGAAAGCGUGGGAGCAAACAGG
rnacentral:rRNA from 1 species